rnacentral:rRNA from 1 species
ACGAACGCUGGCGGCGUGCUUAACACAUGCAAGUCGAACGGAAAGGCCUGCUUUCCCUUGUGGAUUGCGGGUACUCGAGUGGCGAACGGGUGAGUAACACGUGAGUGAUCUGCCCCCAACUUGGGUAUAAGCCUGGGAAACUGGGUCUAAUUCCCGAUAGGACUGCAGGGUGGUGCCUGUGGUGGAAAACGAUUUUCUAGUGGUUGGGGAUGAGCUCGCGGCCUAUCAGCUUGUUGGUGGGGUAAUGGCCUACCAAGGCGGCGACGGGUAGCCGGCCUGAGAGGGUGGACGGCCACAUUGGGACUGAGUUACGGCCCAGACUCGUACGGGAGGCAGCAGUGGGGAAUAUUGCACAAUGGGCGGAAGCCUGAUGCAGCGACGCCGCGUGGGGGAUGACGGCCUUCGGGUUGUAAACUCCUUUCGACCGCGAGGAAGCCACCUGGUUGGAAGGGUGGUGACGGUAGUGGUAGAAGAAGCACCGGCUAACUACGUG